AUUUCACUCUUCGAAGUUUGUGAGAAAAUAUAACUGUGUGAUUGUAUAGACACGUUUCCUGAUAAUACAUCGACGUUCACGAACAGUAGAUUGCACUGCAGUUUGUAAACAUUUUAAGUUUCAUAAACUUCUCCUUCAUUUUCAAAGAUAGUACAAUACUGUCUACUAAAAUUCCUUUUUGUUUCAACUAAGUACUCUCACACAUAUUAGUUUAUAAUAAUGUUUCUUAUU